UACGGAGGGGGCUAGCGUUGUUCGGAAUUACUGGGGGUAAAGCGCACGUAGGCGGACUGGAAAGUCAGGGGUGAACUCCCGGGGCUCAACCCCGGAACUGCCUUUGAAACUCCCGGUCUUGAGGUCGAGAGAGGUGAGUGGAAUUCCGAGUGUAGAGGUGAAAUUCGUAGAUAUUCGGAGGAACACCAGUGGCGAAGGCGGCUCACUGGCUCGAUACUGACGCUGAGGUGCGAAAGCGUGGGGAGCAAACAGG
rnacentral:rRNA from 1 species